GGUAAAGAUGUAUGUCUCGAUAGAAAACUGGUCUUUAAAUCCAUACCACAAAUACCCAAGGUAGAGAGAGUUACCUAAUGUUUCAACAAAACUUUAACACCAUGAUCAUGUUCAUCUUUAUCCUGUGUGAGUAUAUUUCAAACAAUUAACCUAUUUUAUCAUAUUUUCGUAACAAUAUUAACUUUCAAUUUGUUUCACGUUUUGCAAUUUACUGCCAAAUGUAUUUUCUCAUCAAAGGUUCCUUGUCAAAAGAGACCAUAGCCCAAACAAAAGCGCAAGGAACUGGAGAUAAUUCACUUUCCAUCCAGGUGAUGGACCGGAUUCUCCCUGCAGACAUAUCACUUUCAGGCUCAAGCACUGUAAGAGAGGGAGAGGAUGUGGAUUUCCAAUGUACUAUUAUUAGAACCCCCCAGAGAAUAGAAAUGACCAGUCACUUUUACCUCUGCAAGAACGGCACUGCUGUUCAGAUGAAGGAGUUUGAUGUGAAUCUGAUGGAGGCAACUUUUACAAUUAAAAGUGUUAUUAACAAUGACACAGGCAACUACAGUUGUGUGCUUGAUCUGCAAUCAAAACCCCUGGAUAAUACAGACAGGAAAUUAUAUGGAAAUAAUUCAGCCUUUCUUCAGGUUAAUGGUGAGAAUGUAUAGCAUAAAACUUUUGUAAACACUUUUCUUUUAUUUAUAAUCACUAUAUGAAAGGAAGAGGUUAAGAGACCAAAUAAAUUGACAAAAAAUGUGAAUUCAUCCAUCCACUCUGUAUUUCAGAGGCUGCACAUGAUGUGAGACUUGUCAAUGUUAUCCGAUUGAUAAAUUCAGCUGUUGUGGUCAUACUUCUACUGACUGUAGUGGCUGUUAGUUACUUCUGUCCAAACAUGGUGAGUUCAAUGUCUUGAAAUAUGGGACACAGGGAACUUUGGUAUAGUUUGGGGAUUUUCAUGAAAGUCAAGUAGUAAGUUUUAAGUUUCUCUGUUGGGGAUGUUAUUUCUGAUCAUGAGAGGUGUAAGAGGCUGUUUGUAUAGAAAACAUGUCCAGAUGUAGACCUAUUCAGUCACAUUCCUAUAUUUAGCCAUGAGCUCUGUCUCACAGUAUUUCACACGCAAUGCUGUUUACAGAGAAGCACUGAAGUUAAAAUGUAUAAUGAUGAACACAGGAAUAUAAAUAAGACUUGGGGUCUCUCCACACAUAGCUUCCAUCUACAUGUCAAGUCACAAUGAAGGAUGUGGACCUGACGUUUUCUGUGGUUUUUGUUCUCAGACGCAGCAACUGAAGGGCCUAAAGCAGAAGCCGUGUACCAGACCACACACGUAGACAGGAUGUUGUCAGUACAUUUAAUAACGGCAAGCUGCAAUCUAUUUUCAAGCCAUACAUUACAUGUGGACUGUUGAUCUUGCAUUGUGCAAACAUACAAUAUCUGUCUUGUCUACUCACUCCUUGCAUGCUGUAGUUUAAUGUAGUGGACAUUACUGUUUUUCAACUCCACAUUUUCAUUAUGUUGAUGACUGACACACUCAGUAUUCCAUUUCAUGUUUUACUCAUGCACUAGUUGAGCUACUGAGCUAGUGAACAACAAUGUAUGGAUCCCUGCAAUGGUUUCAGUAAAGUUCAAAUGAUAUCACAUGCCCCGACUUCCAUUCUUAUAAUCAUAAGACAGACAACAUAAAGAGAGAUGUUACACAUGCUCUCUUGCAAACUCUAGUUGAUAUGAUUGCCUGUUUUGAUAUGAUUGCCUACUACAUACUACAAUAUCAUUGUUGGAUACCAUUGUUGGAAAUGUUUCUACUCAUUAUAAAUGUGUUGGUGUGAGCUUUUUCUAAGCUCAGUAUCAUAGGCCUGGGGAGUUUGGAACCCCACAUUUGAAAGUUAAUAGGAAGACCAUGUGUUACACAUUUCAAAAAGGCCUAAUGUAACACUGUUACUCCACAUAGCUUACAAAGCCCUACCUAAAACAGACUCAAAGAUCAAAUGUUGUUUAAAACAAAUGUCCACUUGAGAUACCCAACCUGCACCACUAGUCACUACAUAUGAAUCCCAC
rnacentral:lncRNA from 8 species